AGACAUGUCAGAGGCUCCAGGAUGAGACUGAAAGAACAACAAAACUAAAAACAGAACUACAGUGCUCUGAUGAAAUGCUGUCACAGUGGAUAUCGGAUGUGAAGGAAUGGGCAGCUGGUGCAAAACUUGCAGUCAAGAAGAAGAUGCAUGAUCAAGUCAUGUUAAUGUUGCGACUACAAGAAGAAAAGAGCAUUUUGGUGUUGGAGAUGGUGCGACACUGCACAUGGUUGUAGAACCUUGCAGUUGUUCUUAAGAAGAAGGUUGCUGAAGAGGAGAAAGGAAACAAAGGACUUUGCUGUUUGUUAAGAGGGAAACUUUCAGAGGUAUCUGAGAGGUUACAAGUUGUCCUCCACCAGUACAAGACUGCUUUAGGUCCUGAGGCCUCUGUCCCACAGUUCAAAGAAGAACAUCACACUGACCUUAGCAGUCCAGAAUCCAGUGAGGAUGAAGAGGCAAACACACUUGAGAUUUAAUCUGCACAGAAGAUUUGCCUGUUGCCUUUGGCCACGUCAGACGCUUUACAUGAACCCAGCAUACUGUAAAUGUCGUGGAUAGAAUUCUACAUAAUUGUCCUGAGAAUUGUCAUACUUUCCAUACAGCAGUUAUUAAGCAAAAUGCCAUGAAAUAUGCAGACAAUCAUGGCCCUUAAAGGUUGAAUCUUGUUAACUUGAGUGACCUCAUGAUUUCUAGCACCAUGAAUUAUUCAUUUUUGUUUAUCUUGCUUUAAAUGACCGGUGUUCUUCACUGAUCUAUUUGCAUAAUUGAAGAUAUUGUAAGAAUAGCUCGAUAGUUCAGAUACAUUGGAUUAUAGAUAUAUGUGAUACUUGAAGGAGCAAGGAGUUAAGCUCAGAAAAAAAUAAGACUUUUAAUAAAACUUUGCUUAGUUUAUUUAACAGGAUAUAAAUAAACAAAGUGUAGCCAAUCAUGGUAUUUUUGGCAGGUGGAAGACAUUUUUAGUGGUAAAGUACUAAAUCACCAUUGAUACUGAGUUUCCUGGACAAGUGUUGUUAACAGGAAGUAUUUCAUGAAAAUGUGUAAAUGGGUUAAAACGUAUCUGCCGCUGUUAUUAUUGUCCUUAGUAGCGAACUAUACAUUGUCAUGGAGUUUUACUUUCACAUGACAUAUUUGUAUAUUUAUUAUAUAAUUUUAGCAUUAAACUCUACUGUAUUACAAAAUACAACUAUGCUUUUUUAGCAAAUAUGCACU